GGUUAAGUGUCAAGACCCAGAAAAUGGGCAGUUUACAGAAGAACAAACGUCAUCUGGCUAUAGCUUUCCGGAUACGGUAACAUACUCUUGUAUAUUUGGAUAUGAAGUACAGUCUGGUGAUCUCGAACGUUCAUGCCAAGCUGAUGGAACAUGGAGUGGAAAUGCUCCAGUGUGUAAAAUGACCGUAGACUAUUUUUGUGAGGCUCUUUUGGAAACAUUGGAAAGCAAAGGAAAAUCCAAGGAGAGAUCGGCCGAAAGUCCUGAUGAAAGCUCUGAGAUUGAUACCCGGGGAAAAGGUAAAGACAAUGGCAAAUGGAAAGGAAAUUGGAGGAAAGGAAGAAGAUGUGGUUACUAUAAAGCACUCGAAGCUUUGAUAGCAGAAACAUGCCUACUGUCAUAAGGCUCAGCUCCUGUCGAACCCAAUUUUGUGUAUAACUUACUUACUUGUAACUAUUCAAAAGCUUUACGAUUGAAAAAAGAAUUACGACAACACCCUAAUGUAUUACUCUUCAUUGGUUUACAUUGAUGUACAUUAAAAAAUAUAUACCUGUAGAUUAUGAUACUUUUUACAUUGUCUAAAUUUCUCACGAAGUGUACUAACUGAAUUGUAGUGGUUAUAAAAACAUGUUUAUCUAUCAAUAAAUUAAUAUCAUGUUGAACGGGUUGA